AUGAGUUGGCGACACUAUGCUAAAUUACGUACGUAUUCUGGUAGAAUGGUAUGAAUCAUGUAUGUUCGUAUGGUUGACAUAUGUAUACUGUAUAAUCGUGACAAUACGAAACGUGAAAUGUGAUUUAAUGAAGUGAUUACUGAAACUUUCUUUAUAAUUUAAAAUACAAUAUUCGAUCUAUCAAAGUUAGGCUGAUGGUGAUUUUUAAUAUAUUAAAAUUAACACUUCCUGACUAAGAAGUAUGAUAAGAAAUGAACUCCAGUAAACACGAAACAAGUUGAAACUUGAUUUUAUAUUUCGAUCACUUGGUACUAUUGGAGUAACUAUUUAAAAGAAAAAUCAAUAUGGAAACAGAUCUAUCUUUCUUUUAUGAUGAAACAACUGCUACUUCACAAUCUGUUAUAACAUCCCAACUGCUGAGUGAUGGUUUAAAUCAGAAAGAAUUAAAAUUUGAGGAAGAAAGUCUGAUUCGAGAAGAAAAAAGGCCACAUGAUAAAAACUUACUAGAGAUAUCCGAACAAGUUGAACCUAACCACAGUAACCCCUGCCAUGGAUAUUUACGUUUGUUUGCCGAUUGCUGCUCGUGGUUCAGCGAUUGUUACAAUUUUUGCUUCCAAAAUUGUCUUAGAAAUAAUAAUCCUGGAAUUCAUUCAAGUACAGAAUGUAAUUCGUGCUGUUUUGGUGUUGAAAACUGUCAAGCCGAGUGCAGCGAUAUGGGACUCUGUGAUAUUGUGCAUGUGUGUUGCGAUGGUGAAUGUUGUAAUAAUUGUUUAGAUUGUUGUUCAUGUUUUUUAGAAUGGUGUAGUCUUUUUACAAGUUGUAUCGGCUAAGUAAUAGUAGUUAUUUACUUAUAUAAUAAUCUAAUUUACCUUAAAUGCUAUCUUAAUAGAGACAAUUAUAGAUUUUCACAAGUACAAAAAUAUUUAGCAGCAUGCAUUAUGAGAAUGCAACUGACCAUACAGUCAAAAUAAUAGGUACAUUACGCGUACUUUCAUAAUACCUAUACUUUUAUGUUCAUUUUACUGGAUUCUAUUUCACUCGUAUUUUUGUCGUGUAACACCUAUUUCCUCCUUUUAUGAAGUUGUUAAAUUUAAAAUUAAAAACUUAUAAGCCUUCUUUGAUUUAAAUUGAACUCAAAAUGAAUAGAAUAUAAUAUGAUAAUCUCAGAUAAAUCAAAAUAAUAUAAUAUAAAAUAAUAAUAAAGUAUUCUCUACUUGGUUUUAUGGUUCUUAUGUAGGUAGGUACUUAGUGAGUCACUGGUAUAGCCGAAUCUUAUCAAUAAGGUCAUCCAUAAAUGUCUAAAUGUAUAUAUAAUAUAAAUAUAAAAUUACUAUUUAGUUAUAACAUAUUCAUUUUGUAUAUUAGUUUGUAAGUUGAUAUAGGUAAGUUUAGUCUUAAUAUAUAAAAAUUCCAUGUCACGAUGCUCGUUUACGUCAAUAUCUCGUUGUUUAACAGACUCCAAUGAUUUUUUGUUAAUAAUGUAUAUUAAAAAAUAAUCUAAAUUUAGCUUGAAGCAGGAAAUAGUUUUUAAUUUUAUUAAAAAUAACUCAGUUCGUGGUGACACCGGUUAAAAAGAAAUUUGCCGAGUCAGCUGUUAUAAUAAAAUAUUUUGAUUAUUUUAAAAAUAUAACUACAAAUUACGUACUGCUUAUGCGUAACUCUAUGUUGAAAUAGUAUUAAAUUAUCCUUAAUGUAAAUUAUAUAUCCAUGGCAACCCUUGCAACUUUCAAUUUUCUACUAUCGUUAUCACUUCGUUAAUUUUCUACUAUACCUACUAAAUCUACUAUUUUUAUUUUUUUUCAAUGCAUUAAUAUUCAUUCAAUAUAGUGUAUUGUUUAUUUUUUUUACUUUUCAAAAGAAAUAAGACUUCAGUGUGAUUAUUUUGUAUACAUUUAUUAGUUAACCAAUUAGAAUGUUUUUUAAAUUUUUAUCAAGAUAAUAAAAACUGUGAACUGAUAAGAACAGAACUAGUAGAAUAUAAGUUUAUUAUCUCAAAGACAAAUUAUAGUUUUAACUUUACUCGAGUGAUUGUGAACAGUCAUAUAAUAAUCAAGUAAUUAUUUUCAUGUUUUUACAUCGAAGCUAAACUGUAGUUAUUAAAAAAUAAACCAGUGCUAAAAAAUUCAUAAAUUUUUUUUACUUUGCAGUGCAAAUACCUAACCUACGUAAUUAAUUAAUCAUGCUUCCGCAUUGAGACUUUAUAAUUUGAAAUUGGAACAGUUUGUAAGAGUAUUCUUCUACAGAAAUUAGGUACAAAAACUUUAAAUUCAAUUCUAUCUUCUGCAACGUAUAUUGAAAUACUUAUCUAUUUUUAAAAAUGCAAGCUAAUAAAUCUGUGAUUACUGCUCAACCCUCUGAUCCAUCUGAAUCAGUCAUCACUUCUCAACCAGUCAGCACUGGGUUUGAUAUGGAUGAUCCAGAAUCUUUACUGCAACAAGAAAGGGAGCAGGAGGAAGAAAGAAAAAGGCAAGAAGAAGAAAGGAGGAGACAAGGCACAUGGGAUGAUGAAGAUCCAUUGACAGAGUGUUGCCUAAUUAUUCCUGAUGAUCAGGAUACAUACUUUUGUCUUCGUUGGUUAUCUGAUUGUUGCAUAUGGUUCAACAACUGCCACAAUCAAUGUUUUCAGGAUUGGGCAAAUUGUUUAAGCCGUUGUUGUGAAGGGGACAAAGAGAAUGCUGAUAUUGGACAGAGUAAUGAAGGUUGUUGUGAUUGCAAUUGUUGCGAAGGGGAUUGUUGUGAUUGUAAUGGUGAUUGUUGUGAUUGUGAUGGGGAUUGUUGUGAUUGUGAUGGGGAUUGUUGUGAUGCCUGUGGAGACUGCUGUAAUAUAUUUUCAUCUUGUGAUGAUUAACUUUUUUUAUCAUUCCAUUUAGAAUAUCUUACUCUUUGUCUCAAAAAAUUUUGUACAAAUAUUUACCUUGUUGUGGCCUCAUAUUAAUGCUACUUAAUUAUUAUAAAUCUAUUAUAAAAAAAUUAUGACAAUAAUUAUAAAUCAAAUACUUUAUUCAAUAUACCUCAUGAAUGCAUUCAUAGCAAACAGUUUGUAGUAACUGUUAUAUUUAUAAUUCAUUAAAUUUUAUUUAUUUAUUUUUAAGACAACAUACAGCCUGAUUCAAUCAAUACAUAGUCAAAUUACAUUUAUGUUGAACUACAAAUAGUUCUCAAAUUUGCAUAAUUACACAAUCUGUUUUUAUAUAUAUGCAAUAAAAAAGUUACAAAGUUAUAAAUUUUGUUAACACAGUUACAAUUGAAACAGUAUAAAUCAGAGGUGGCCGACUUAACUAAAUCCAAGAUCUACUAUUUACUGAUGAAACCCUGUGCAAUCUACCAAUUACAUACUUUUUGAAAUAUGAAAUGAAUCAACAUACUUCAAUACACAAUUAUGUAGUACAUAUUGUAGUAUUUUUUAUUUUAUUAAGAGAGAAAACAUAAAACUGAAAUUUAUUUUUAGUAACGUAUUUAUUUAUAUUAGUGUGAAUCACGAUCGGCCACCCCUUGUAUAAAUCAUUAUUUAUUUAUUUAUGUAACAUAUAUAAUAUAUGUUAUAAUACUAUUAUUUUUGACUCAAUUCUGUGGUGCUAUUUUUCUAAACUUAUAUCUUGACCUAAUAUUUUAAUUUGAUUGUUUCGCAAAAUUAGUUUUAUGAACCAAUUAUAAACUAAAUUUAAAUUUUACUAAAUUUUAAUUUAAAUCUAUUAGAAAUAUAGUUUAGAUUGGUCCUGUUCAUAAAGAUUUCACUGUGGUAUCAAAUUGAAUUUUUAAUUUUGGAGAAAGGUUUAGAGAAAUGAUAGCUCAGAAUCGAUCUCAAUGUUUGUUUUUAUAAUUAAAUGCUCUCAAAUUUUUACUAUUUAUAUUUUUCAUGUGUAUUAAUAUUUAAUGUAUAUAUUAUCAACAUAAAUAUAUGCAUGACAUUAAAAAUAAAAUAUUUUUAUGGGAAAUGCUUCAUUUUUGUAUUAUGUACAGACAAGCAGGUAGUAAUUUAAUAAAAAUGUUAUGAAGCUAAGUACUAAAAAUAAUGUUCCAGAGUAUUAUUAAUUAAGUAUUAAUUAUCAAUGUUAAUAAUGUAAUGUUACAGUGUAAAUAAGUUACUAUUAUUUUACUAAUUAUAUUACUUAUGUUUUUUUUUUUAUUUGAUACAAUCCAUAUAUGAAUAAAUAAAAUAUUAUUAUUCAUAUUUAAAUAGAUAUGAAAAUUUACGAACAUUUCUGUGUUUAUAAUUUAAAAUUAAAAAAUGAAGUAUGAAUCGUCUGAAAUAAGCUACAAAGAUAUAUUUAUAGUAUAACAACUGUUUAUAAUAUAAGCAAAUGAUAGGAUAUCACUGAAUCUUACUAGACAUAUAAUGGUGCUAAAAUGAGUACAUGAGUACUAGUGGUCAUAGAGUAUUGAUAAUUAUUAAUUCCAUUUAUUUCCAGUAUGCCAUAAGAGCGAAAUAGAAGUACACAUAAUGGCUUCUUAAGUGCAUAGAUUACUGAACAUUUUUCUAGACUGCUGCCCCCUUUAGCUCAAUGCUGUUACUAUAAAUUAUAAAUAAAUAGCUAACACCCCCAUUAGUUUCUGCAUUCGCUAUAGUCUUAUGAGACAAAGAUUUUUUUUCUUUUUGAUGGGUGGAAAUGCAAUGGUAACCCCAUCUGCGCUAACCGGAUACGUUGGCGGAGCACCAGUGAAGGGUGAUAGAUGAGAAUGAAAACAGCUCAGUUAGCCCAUCAUGAUGAACUCAUUAGGAAUUAACCAUGAUAGUUUCCAGGGGGAACCGCGAGGAGCUCAACCUGGUUGGAUAUAUUGCUAGCAAUGGGAUUCUUAGUCUGCAUUACUAACAAUCCCUUUCCCCCCGUGAGACAAAGAUGUUAGGUUUAUAGUGAUUUAUUUGAGGUAUGGCAAUACCAAAGGCUCUUGUAGAGGCGAUAUUAUCUCGUUCGAAUUUAUACCCUAUUGCACUUGAAGGAAAACUUGAAACAAAAAAAUACUAUCCAACCACCCGACUCGUGUUAUAGGUACAGGGUACAGUCAACACAGAAGUCGAUUAACACAACUUUUAAAAUAUAGGUAUAUAUACCUAUAAUUUGACGUUUUAAAUUGUCCGUCCAAUUGUGCCACCAAUAUUGAAAAAAUGUUUAAAUGUUUUAGAAAUCGCGAUGUGUUAAUCGACAUUUUCUGCUUUUUCUUACUUAUUUUGGAAUUUUACAUUAACAUUUUUGCUAUCAAAUUCCAAAUUCACAGUGAUCGCUUAACAAGAAUAUUGUUGUAAAAUUGUUUUUAAAAGCUGACAGAUAAUUGUGACAAUACCUACUUCAUUGUGAACACUCAUAAGUGUAGAGUACAGAGAAUUGACCCCAGUGAUUAUGUUAGAAAAUUAGUCAUAAUAAUUAUACUAUUGUGCCAAAUUUAUUUAUAGAAUUUAUAUAGUUAUUAGGUACUUAUAUAUUUUUUUAUUACUAUGCUACAUCAUUAAAGCAUCAUAGUUAUAAAUAUUGCAUAUUUUAUUGAAAAUUACAUUUCUGUGCCUAACAUUUAAAUUUUUAAAUUUGGAAUACUAUAAGUUCUAUGUGAAAUUUAUUGUUACGCAAAAAUUAUCGAAUUAUAUUAUUUAUAAAG